UGGGCAAUCCGCAGCGAAGUCCCUAUUAUAGGGAGCGCGUUCAGAGACUAGAUGUUUGUGGGUCGCCGAGUCGUCGGUUGCUUAAGGUAUAGUCCGGCCCGUCCCGAAAGUGUCUGGGGUUCAAAUGUAGAUGUUCUGGGCCGCACGCGCGCUACACUGACAGAGCCAGCGAGUUUAUCACCUUGGCCGGAAGGUCCGGGUAAUCUUGUGAAACU
rnacentral:rRNA from 1 species